CCUGAUGCUUGACCUUUCUCCCCACCAGCUCCGGAACGACUACAUGCAGCGCUACGCCAGCAAGGUCAGCGAGGGCAUGGCCCUGCAGCUGGGCUGCCUGGAGCUCAGGCGGUUCUUCAAGGAUAUGCCCCACAAUGCACUUGACAAGAAGUCCAACUUCGAGCUCCUAGAAAAGGAAGUGGGGCUGGACUUGUUUUUCCCAAAGCAGAUGCAGGAGAACUUAAAGCCCAAACAGUUCCGGAAGAUGAUCCAGCAGACCUUCCAGCAGUACGCCUCGCUCAGGGAGGAGGAGUGCGUCAUGAAGUUCUUCAACACUCUCGCCGGCUUCGCCAACAUCGACCAGGAGACCUACCGCUGUGAACUCAUUGUAAUGGCGGGCUCUCUUGAUCCUCUCCCUGACCCGGAUUCCAGGCCUCUCGGGAAAGGGGGCCAGGAGGGGGCAGGGAGAGGCUGCAAUCGCUGCAGAUUCUCAGGCAGCAGGACCUCGCUGGCCUGCCGUCGGUGGAAGUCACAAGCAUCCCCUUGCCUGAAGCAGGCACUGAAAUGUUGGCCU
rnacentral:sRNA from 1 species